ensembl:lncRNA
CACUUAGCCCACCUUGCUCAUUAGUACCUGCUGUUAAGAUUAUCCUGGGUCUCAAUUUCCUUCUCUGUAAAAUCAGAGGGGUAGACAAUUUCCUGGUUGAGCGGCCCCCAGGCAGCAGCUUCCAGGGCAGAGGACCCAGAAGUCAGGCUCACACAGAACUUCCCCUCCGGCAGACCAGCCACCCUCCUCCCAGCAGCCCAUGUGUCUCACCCGGGGCGCAGCUGGGCGGGUUCCCCGCAACCCCCGAGGCCGGCGCAGCGGAUCUAGGCCGGGACUCACCCGGGGAGGCCCCCGCCCCGCCACUCCGCAUACUGAUGCCCGGCCCCUUGGCGCACUUGUCCACUGGGCCUGCCAACACCCGAAACUCUCGCAGUCAACAGUGCAGCAAGGGAGCAAACAGUGAAAGCCGAAGAGCUGAACCCUCACAUUCUCCUUCCGCCUCGAGCCCCGCUUUUAAGCACCGGACCCUGAGCGCUCCAGGCGCCGGCGGCACCGGGGCGCGGAGGUUUGCAGCGCCGGAUCCCGGCCCCCUUGACCAACCGCGGCCCCACCUACCUGCCUCGGGCGGACCGGCGCGGCAGCCGCUGCCCACGGCCGCGAGGAUCCAGAGGAGCUGGCAGAGGCUCGUGGCCCGGUGCUCCAGGGUGCAGGGCGGGCGGGCCCCCCGAAAAUGCCGGGGAGCGGCGAGCCGGGCGCGCGGGCCGGCGCUCCGGGGAGGCGGCGGUGGCCGCAGGAACGAUCCCGGGGCGCGAGGGGUGCGCGGAGCCGCUGGAAUGACCCCGAGGCGCUAAGGGAGCGUUCCGAGGGCGACCAUCAGCGGAGCUGGGGCAGCUGCAGCGGCAGCGCGGCUUGCGGGAGGCGGAUCCCCACACUGGCAGAGCUGGGGCUGGGGCCGGAGGCGGCGGGCCGGGGCGGGGCCGCGGCGCUCACGUGGCCGCCCCCAGUGGCCGCCCGGACUCCUUCUGCCGCCGCGUGGACCUCCCGGCGCUGCGUCUGCGGCUCACUAGCCCGCUGAAUACAGAGCUUCCGGAUCUAACGCCUGGGGCGGCCUGGCCACCUACUGGCAAAGGGGCCCCCCUCCCAGCGGGUAAUUUGAGAGGGGGCAGCUAACCCCUUGCUCUCGUACCGCACCCUCCGGUUCUCCAUCCGCUGCCUGUCUAGUUCCUGUAUUCGAAUCCUUUCCAAAAUCAGUAAUGAUCUGAUCUCAUUGUACGUCUCUUAUAAUAUUUUUUUAAUCAGAAAUCGCUUUUUUUUUUUUUUCCUGAUCUCUGCUUUGCAAAAACUUAGGCGUGUAUGACUAUGGCAAUUAUUUGUGUAAUGAUUUGUAUAGUACGUUGCUGUAGUCCUCUUAGCAAGAGGCAUCUGCGUGCGUGCUAAGUUGCUUCAGUUAUGUCCGACUCUGUGUGACCCUGUGGACUGUAGCCCGCCAGGCUCCUAUGUCCAUGGGAUUCUCCAGGCAAGAAUACAGGCGUGGGUUGUCAUGCUC